UACGUAGGGUGCAAGCGUUGUCCGGAAUUAUUGGGCGUAAAGAGCUCGUAGGCGGUUUGUCGCGUCUGCUGUGAAAACUCGGGGCUCAACUCCGAGCUUGCAGUGGGUACGGGCAGACUAGAGUGCGGUAGGGGAGACUGGAAUUCCUGGUGUAGCGGUGGAAUGCGCAGAUAUCAGGAGGAACACCGGUGGCGAAGGCGGGUCUCUGGGCCGUAACUGACGCUGAGGAGCGAAAGCAUGGGGAGCAAACAGG
rnacentral:rRNA from 1 species